GUCAGUAUUAGGGUUUUAAACCCUAAACUGAACUUUCCCUUUAGUCAACAUUAGGGUUUUAAACCCUAAACUGAACUCUUUCCUUCAGUCAUUAUUAAGGUUUUAAACCCUAAACUGAACUUUUUCCAUUCAGUCAGCAUUAGGGUUUUAAACCCUAAACUGAACUCUUUCAUUCAGUCAUUAUUAAGGUUUUAAACCCUAAACUGAACUUUUUCCAUUCAGUCAGCAUUAGGGUUUUAAACCCUUAACUGAACUCUUUCCAGCCAGUCAGUAUUAGGGUUUUAAACCCUAAACUGAACUUUCCCUUUAGUCAGAAUUAGGGUUUUAAACCCUAAACUGAACUCUUUCCUUCAGUCAGCAUUAGGGUUUUAAACCCUAAACUGAACUUUUUCCAUUCAGUCAGCAUUAA
rnacentral:lncRNA from 1 species